GAUGAACGCUGGCGGCGUGCUUAACACAUGCAAGUCGAACGGAAAGGCCCAAGCUUGCUUGGGUACUCGAGUGGCGAACGGGUGAGUAACACGUGGGUGAUCUGCCCUGCACUUCGGGAUAAGCCUGGGAAACUGGGUCUAAUACCGGAUAGGACGAUGGUUUGGAUGCCAUUGUGGAAAGUUUUUUCGGUGUGGGAUGAGCUCGCGGCCUAUCAGCUUGUUGGUGGGGUAAUGGCCUACCAAGGCGUCGACGGGUAGCCGGCCUGAGAGGGUGUACGGCCACAUUGGGACUGAGAUACGGCCCAGACUCCUACGGGAGGCAGCAGUGGGGAAUAUUGCACAAUGGGCGCAAGCCUGAUGCAGCGAAGCCGCGUGGGGGAUGACGGCCUUCGGGUUGUAAACUCCUUUCGCUAGGGACGAAGCGUUUUUGUGACGGUACCUGGAGAAGAAGCACCGGCUAACUACGUG
rnacentral:rRNA from 1 species